AGUGAACGCUGGCGGUAGGCCUAACACAUGCAAGUCGAACGGCAGCACAGUAAGAGCUUGCUCUUACGGGUGGCGAGUGGCGGACGGGUGAGGAAUACAUCGGAAUCUACUUUUUCGUGGGGGAUAACGUAGGGAAACUUACGCUAAUACCGCAUACGACCUACGUGUGAAAGCAGGGGAUCUUCGGACCUUGCGCGAGUGAAUGAGCCGAUGUCGGAUUAGCUAGUUGGCGGGGUAAAGGCCCACCAAGGCGACGAUCCGUAGCUGGUCUGAGAGGAUGAUCAGCCACACUGGAACUGAGACACGGUCCAGACUCCUACGGGAGGCAGCAGUGGGGAAUAUUGGACAAUGGGCGCAAGCCUGAUCCAGCCAUACCGCGUGGGUGAAGAAGGCCUUCGGGUUGUAAAGCCCUUUUGUUGGGAAAGAAAAGCAGCAGGUUAAUACCCCGCUGUUCUGACGGUACCCAAAGAAUAAGCACCGGCUAACUUCGUG
rnacentral:rRNA from 1 species